CUCUGUAAAAAAAAAAAAAAGAGAGAGAGAGAAACAACAACAUGCUUGUGCUUAUAAAACAGGAAGAAAAGAACUCAAGUUAUUAUGUUACUCCCAUUUAACUCCUGAGAACACUAUUAUCAUAAUGCAUUAGGUGAAAUAUCAGCCUGCCUAAAUAUGGUAAUCUGAUUAAAAGGAAAGUGUUUUGUUUGUUUUUGAUUUAUUUUGAGAGAGCACACGUGUGCAUGCACAAGAGAGGGGACAGGCAGAGAAGAGAGAGAGAGAAUCUCAAGUAGGCUCCAUUGUCUCAGCCCAGAGCCCAAUGUGGGGCUUGAUCCUACAACCCAGAGAUCAUAACCUGAACCGAAAUCAAGAGUCAGAUGCUUAACUGAGCCAACCCAGGCGCUCCUAAAAGGAAAGUUCUGACCACUUUAUUCCUUAGUGGAUUAUAGUAGUUCAAAAUGUGGUUGUCAUCUCCCAGAAUUUAUUCUAUCUGGUGAAUCUCAACUUACCUUUUUGCUUACUAAGGACUGAAAAACAAUUUCUUCUGUUUAGAGUACUUGAAGACAGAUUUGAAUACAUAAAAAUCUGACCCCUGUUUUGCCCACGACUGCCUUUGAUCAGCAGGGUAACUGAGUGGGUGUGGGCAGUCUGGUGGAUAAUUAUCCCCAUGGAGGGUGCAGGGUAACAGAUACAAAAGUGAGACUGGGUAGGGAGGUAAAAAUAAGGACUAGAAAAAGGAGAAGAUACCAGAUCAAGACACACCACCUUCUCAUCCUGAAACCCUUCAUCACCGGGUGUCACAAAUCAGGUUCAGGAGCCUCUCAGACUUCGAUAUGGUUAUGAAAAUAUGUUUAAAAAACCCUGCAGUGACAAUUACAGACACAAGUAGCACAUCAUCACAGAGUAUAAGGAGAAGGAGGAAGAGGAAGGAGAGAGGAGAAGAAAAGUUACUAAAAAGAAGGCUCUCCUGCAUAGUGGGGGCUGGUCAACAGGUUCCACAACAGUCUAGAUUCCAUGUUUCUCAGGACCAAUCAACUGUUCUUAUUUAGGUCUUAUGUCCUACCAGCAGCACUUUGACAGUUAAUGCUAUUUCUCAGGCACCUCAUCCCUGACAAGCUGUGCUCCCUGGCUGGUGAGGAUAAGGAACUAUUGUAAUACUCAUUGGCUUCCGGCAUCAGAUCACCCUGGAUAAGUGGACUAGCCAGGGUAUGGAUUUCCAAUGCUGAAUCAGAGCCAAUCUGGCGGCUCAGAAGACCAUCACAAUGCAGCAGUGCAUGGAGUCCAUUUACAGGCUGACUUCCCUCAUCUUACUGCUGGUUCUUCUCUGCUACCCACCCCACUUUCUUCACUGUAACCAAAUACACAGUUCAUCACGUACUAAAGAGUGGCUUAUGUGAAGUUUCAAGUGAUGGUCUGAUGGAUAGCAUGGUUAUUCACCCAAGUUGUUGACUUUCUCCUCCUGUUGAAGUCUCAAAGGUAUUUUUUCAGAUUUAUUGGGACAGAACUGAAUUUUUUUCCAUUUUGAGGAGAAGCUAAGCAUUUCUCUCAAUCUGUCUUUUGUGUUGUAAAGGGCAUGCUUCUACCACUGACCCUGAAGUAGUGAGGUGUUCUCUGGCCGGAGGUGUGAACUCAAGGAAGCUAUGAAGACAUCAACAGGUGCCUCCUGAAUAACCUCACCUCAGUCCUUCAAGAAAGCCUUCCUCAGCACAAGUUUUUCAAAGUUUAAAAAAUGACCUCAAAUUUGAGCGCACUGAGAUAUUUAAGAGGAAGUGUAUUGGUGUCUGCAAAUGACUUUGACAUGCAUCAAAAACAUGAAGAUUGGUAUAUGGCUAGAGUGAUAGAUGGACAUAUAUGUGAUAAGGCAAGUAGAAUAAAAUGCUAAUGGUUGCAUUUAGCGGGUAGGGGAGGAUUCAUUAUAAAUAUUUUUUUUAACUUGGCUGUAUGAAUAAUAAUAAAAAUGUUGGCAGAUAAACACUGUGUGUGCAAUGAAAAGGAGAAAUACGCCAUGUCUUUGCACCAAAUUUGACCCCUGAACCAUAAAUUCACCUUCUCUUUUACGUUACUUGAAGAAUGAAGGAUUCUGAGAGGUUAAGGAUAAUGUAGUGAGCACCUUACAUGCUGAAACUAGAAAAUGCUCUCAUAGGAGUAGACCUGGAAUGUCUCCUGAGCAAGCUCAGACAAAAUUAUUAUGGAAAAGCACUAACAAAGAGGCUGUUGAAAACCUGUUGGCUUCAGCAGAAAGCUGGGGGAGCCCUUUGUUUUAGGAAAACUUCUAGACAAAUUGCACAACCAAGCAGGGCACGUGCCUGAGGGGAGUGACCCUCUUUGCCCAACCACAUU